rnacentral:rRNA from 1 species
UGGGGAAUAUUGCACAAUGGGGGGAAACCCUGAUGCAGCGACGCCGCGUGGAGGAAGAAGGUCUUCGGAUUGUAAACUCCUGUUGUUGAGGAAGAUAAUGACGGUACUCAACAAGGAAGUGACGGCUAACUACGUGCCAGCAGCCGCGGUAAUACGUAGGUGGCGAGCGUUAUCCGGAAUUACUGGGGUGUAAAGGGUGUGUAGGCGGGCUAGCAAGUCAGAUGUGAAAACUAAGGGCCUAACCCUUAGCCUGCAUUUGAAACUGGUUGGUCUUGAGAGUGGGAGAGGUAAACGGAAUUCCCGGUGUAGCAGUGAAAUGCGUAGAUAUCGGGAGGAACAUCGGUGGCGAAGGCGGUUUACUGGACCAUUACUGACGCUGAA